rnacentral:rRNA from 1 species
UACGUAGGGUGCGAGCGUUGUCCGGAAUUACUGGGCGUAAAGAGCUCGUAGGUGGUUUGUCGCGUUGUUCGUGAAAACUCACAGCUUAACUGUGGGCGUGCGGGCGAUACGGGCAGACUGGAGUACUGCAGGGGAGACUGGAAUUCCCGGUGUAGCGGUGGAAUGCGUAGAGAUCGGGAAGAACAUCAGUGGCGAAGGCGGCCUGCUGGGCUGUUGCUGACGCUGAGGCGCGACAGCGUGGGGAGCAAACAGG